AUUAUUUUUUUGACCAAGCCAUUAUUAGGAACUAGGACAAACGCUUGAUCCUAAAUAGUAGCCACUGAGAUAGAGCUAGUGCAGUAACUACACAAAGUGCCAAAUGUUGCUCCCCCUGACCGCUGUUUGUGUCUUAUCUGCUGACUGGCCACGCCAUUUGCAUGCGCCGCUGACAGCGCAACAUUUUGUUGCGCGGCUACCAAUUCCGCAGUUGGAGUCGUCGUAGCUAGUGCUGCUGCGGUUGCCGCAUGGGCAGCCAACAAGGUGCUGGUGCUGGUGCUGUUGCUGGUGCUGUGCUGUGCUGUGUGUUGCACUAAGUUAGGUUGUAGUUGCAGCCUGGCAUUAGUUGUAGCUCGUUUGGCUGCAGGUUGUUCUUGUUGGAGUCGCUUGUUGGUUGUCAUGUACGAAAAUUGUAGCGCGCAUUGCUGCAGGAAAUAGUUCAAACAUAUCAAUUUUAUUUUUAUUUAUGCUAAUAAACCGUUAGGCCUGAGUGAA